GGGAGUGGGUGACCAGUGACAGAGGGAGGGGGUAACACAGUGACAGAGUGAGGGAGGUGGUGACUAGUGACAGAGUGAGGGAGGUGGUGACUGUCACUAGUCACCACCUCCCUCACUCUGUCCCUAGUCACCCCUCCCUCUGUCACUAGUCACCUCUUCCCUCCCUCUGUCACUAGUCACCCCCUCCCUCUCUCUGUUACUAGUCACCCCCUACCUCUC